ensembl:snRNA
GUAUUUUAUGAAAUAUAGUUAGCACUCUCCUUGACAAAGAUGGAAGAGGUCUGGGGCCUAACAAUACACAUACAGUUAAGGCAUUCCCAUCUACUUUGUAUCAUCUCAACAACAUGUUUUA